AGGACGAACGCUGGCGGCGUGCUUCAUACAUGCAAGUCGAACGAUAAGGCGUCUUCGGACGUACAUAAGUGGCGGACGGGUGAGUAAUGUGUAGAGAAUCUGCCCUAGAGAGUGGGACAACAGUUGGAAACGACUGCUAAUACCGCAUAUGAGCGUAGCUGAAAUGCUAUUCUUGAAAACUCCGGUGCUCUGGGAUGAGUCUGCAUCUGAUUAGCUAGUUGGGGGUGUAAUGGACCACCAAGGCGACGAUCAGUAGCUGGUUUGAGAGGAUGAUCAGCCACAAUGGGACUGAGACACGGCCCAUAUUCCUACGGGAGGCAGCAGUAGGGAAUUUUGCGCAAUGGGGGGAACCCUGACGCCAGCAACGCCGCGUGACCGAUGAAGCCCUUCGGGGUGUAAAGGUCUGUCAGUGGGGACGAAAGAUGACGGUACCCGCAGAGGAAGCAUCGGCUAACUCCGUGCCAGCAGCCGC
rnacentral:rRNA from 1 species